rnacentral:rRNA from 1 species
UAUUGGGCAAUGGGCGAAAGCCUGACCCAGCAAUGCCGCGUGUGUGAUGAAGGCCCUCGGGUUGUAAAGCACUGUCGGGAGGGAAGAAAAAGCUCGGGUAACGCCGAGCCUUGACGGUACCUCCAAAGGAAGCACCGGCUAACUCCGUGCCAGCAGCCGCGGUAAUACGGAGGGUGCAAGCGUUGUUCGGAAUUACUGGGCGUAAAGCGCGUGUAGGCGGCAUCGUAAGUCGGAUGUGAAAGCCCUCGGCUCAACCGAGGAAGUGCAUCCGAUACUGCGGAGCUUGAGUGUCGGAGGGGAUGGCGGAAUUCCCGGUGUAGAGGUGAAAUUCGUAGAUAUCGGGAGGAACACCUGUGGCGAAGGCGGCCAUCUGGACGACAACUGACGCUGAGACGCGAAAGCGUGGGUAGCAAACAGG